rnacentral:rRNA from 1 species
UACAGAGGGGGCAAGCGUUGUUCGGAAUUACUGGGCGUAAAGGGCUCGUAGGUGGCCAACUAAGUCGGACGUGAAAUCCCUCGGCUUAACCGGGGAACUGCAUCCGAUACUGGAUGGCUUGAGUUCGGGAGAGGGAUGCGGAAUUCCAGGUGUAGCGGUGAAAUGCGUAGAGAUCAUGAGGAAGACCAGUGGCGAAGGCGGGUCUCUGGACAGUUCCUGACACUGAGGCACGAAGGCCAGGGGAGCAAACGGG